rnacentral:rRNA from 1 species
CCUACGGGAGGCAGCAGUGAGGAAUAUUGGUCAAUGGCCGGAAGGCUGAACCAGCCAUGCCGCGUGCAGGUCAGUGCCCUAUGGGCGUUAAACUUCUUUUGUGCGGAAGCAAUAAUGGUCACGUGUGGCCAGACGAGAGUACCGUACGAAUAAGCAUCGGCUAACUCCGUGCCAGCAGCCGCGGUAAUACGGGGGAUGCAAGCGUUAUCCGGAUUUAUUGGGUUUAAAGGGGGCGUAGGCUGUGAGGUAAGUCAGCGGUGAAAUGCCCCCGCUCAACGGGGUGAAGUGCCAUUGAUACUGCCGUGCUGGAAUGCAGAUGCCGUGGGAGGAAUGUGUGGUGUAGCGGUGAAAUGCAUAGAUAUCACACAGAACACCGAUUGCGAAGGCAUCUCACGAAUCCGCGAUUGACGCUGAUGCACGAAAGCGUGGGUAUCAAACAGGAUUAGAUACCCUAGUAGUC